rnacentral:lncRNA from 1 species
AUUCCUUUGAAUCAAAGGAGUCCUUACUGUUGUUAGUGUGGUAUUGUCGGUUUUGAAUCAAAGGAGUCAUAAUAAUAGUACUAGCAUAUAUACUUUGCCCAUCUCCACCUCCACGACAGAAGCAUCACAGCUCCAUGAGCGCCAGUGACAGUGGUGGAGUAAACCAGUCCAAGAACAGCUGCUUAAUUAUCAUAUUACACCCUGCAUUGCCUCAUAAUAACCCCAGCCUAAACCAUCUCUCGCCGAUCCUCCCCACAGUAAUACCGCCAUAAUCCAAGGGGGCAAACCAAAAAGAAGCACCAAAAGCACAGACCCUCGCCGUCGCCGCCGGUGCCUACAGGCAGAAGCAGCCGCCGUUGUACUUGCCGCCCUUCAUCUGCUCGCCGACCUUCCUCACCGUCACCGACGACGGCGCGCACGGCGUCCACUCCGCCGCCAGCCGCACCCUCGCCAGCCACCACCACCCGCUCCCGCCCCCACGCUUCCUCCUCGCCGACGCCUGCGCGGCCGCGGCCUCGGCGGCGAGGCGGCGGUUCUCGGCGCGGAGGCGUUCGAUCUCGGCGACGCCGGCCUUGCGCUCGGCCUCCCAGGCGGCCAUGGCCUCGAAGCACUCCCGGUUGCGGAGCUCCAGCCCGUACACCUGCGCCUGCAGCGCCUCCACCUUCCGCCCGAGGAUGCACGCCCGGUGGUCGUCCCGCAGCUUCACGGCCAGCCGGGCCAGGUCGGCCGCGCGGCGGCGCGUGUAGCCGAGCUCGGCUGCGGCGGCCGCGGCCUCCUCCUCGGCGGCGGAGGCGCGGAAGGCCAGGCGCGCGUUCUCGCCCAGAAGGACCAGGCGCUCCGACUCGAGCACCUCCAGCAGGCUCCCCUGCAGGUCGAUCUUGCGCGCCGACUCGGCCCUCCGGCGGUCCGCCUCGUCCGCCAGCAGGUCCCGGUCCACCCACGCCAUCACCAGCUCCGCCACUACCAGGUCGCCGUCAACGGCCGGAGCAGCAACCGGAGUUGCGAAAUGAUCAUCGGUGACUCCGGCGUGGGGCUGGAAGGAGAGGGAGCUGCCGGCGUCCGAGGAGCGGUCAUCAACGUCGGAGGAGCAGUCGGAGCUGAGGUUGAGGUGGUGGGAGUGGAAGUGGGCAGACGACUUGGCGUUGGCGUUGGCGAGGAGGGACUGAGCGUAGCGGUCGGCGAGGUAGAGGUAGCGGUGGUGGAGGUCGGUGAGGAGCGCGAGCAGCUGCGGGCGGCGGUGGUAGU